rnacentral:misc_RNA from 1 species
CCGAGUUAUCAACUCCCAAACCCCUGUGAACAUACCUGAACGUUGCUUCGGCGGGACCGCCCCGGCGCCCUCAUCGGCCCGGAACCAGGCGCCCGCCGGAGGACCCAAACUCUUGUAUUAUAGUGGCAUAUUCUGAGUCUCACAAGAAAAUGAAUCA